UCAAGCGAAGAAGAGCACAGGGUGGAUGCCCAGGCACCAUACGCCGAAGAAGGACGCGGCCAGCUGCGAAAAGCCACGAGGAGUCGCAAGCAGACAUUGAUUCGUGGAUAUCCGAAUGGGGAAACCCGGCGGGAGUCAUGUCCCGUCACCCAUGGAUGAAUUCAUAGUCCAUGAGGAGGGCACGCGGGGAACUGAAACAUCUAAGUACCCGCAGGAGAAGAAAGAAAAAUCGAUUUCCUUAGUAGCGGCGAGCGAAGGGGAAGAAGGCCAAACCAAGGGGCAUGCCCCUUGGGGUUGUGGGCCGGCGAGAUGUACGUGGAAGUCUAGUGGAAGCGCGUUGGAAAGCGCCGCCAGAGAGGGUGACAGCCCCGUAGACGAAAGGCGGACACGGCUAGCCGGUACCAGAGUACCGCAGGACACGAGAAAUCCGGUGGGAAGCAGGGGGGACCACCCCCCAAGCCUAAAUACGAUAUGGUGACCGAUAGCGCAUAGUACCGUGAGGGAAAGGUGAAAAGAACCCCGGGAGGGGAGUGAAAGAGAACCUGAAACCCUGUGUUUACAAGCAGAGGAAGCACAAUUGAUGUGCGACCUUGUACUUUUUGUAGAACGGACCGGCGAGUUACGUUAUGUUGCGAGGUUAAGGACUGAAGGUCCGGAGCCGAAGCGAAAGCGAGUCUGAAUAGGGCGUAUGAGUAACAUGACGUAGACCCGAAACCGGGUGACCUAUCCAUGGCCAGGUUGAAGUGGGAGUAAAAUCCCAUGGAGGACCGAACCAGACGUCUGUUGAAAAAGGCGGGGAUGAGCUGUGGAUAGCGGAGAAAUUCCAAUCGAACCCGGAGAUAGCUGGUUCUCCUCGAAAUAGCUUUAGGGCUAGCCUCGUAUUAGAUGAUCGGAGGUAGAGCGCUGAAUGGGCUAGGGGGCCCAAAGCUUACCGAACCCUAUCAAACUGCGAAUGCCGAAUCAUUGAUGUACGGGAGUCAGUCCGCGAGAGAUAAGUUCCGCGGGCAAAAGGGGAACACCCCAGACCUUCCGCUAAGGUCCCCAAGUGCACGUUAAGUGGAGAAGGAUGUGUGAUUGCACAGACAACCAGGAUGUUGGCUUAGAAGCAGCCAUUCAUUCAAAGAGUGCGUAAUAGCUCACUGGUCGAGUGGUCAUGCGCCGAAGAUGUACCGGGGCUCAAACGUGACACCGAAGCGAAGGAUUUACCGCUGUGAACACAGUUCACAGCUUCGAUCAAAUGCAUGCAUUUGAUCGAGGAUUGCCCUCUCACCUUGCAAAAGCGAUGCUUUUGCGGCCAGGUGAUCGGGUAGGGAUGCCUUGCUACGCAAGGCUGCCAAAGCCACCGCGCAUGUCGCUGGCUUUGGAAUAGAGUCGAAGGGCAGCGGCCCUUCGAGCAUCCCGGAGCACAGCCGUGGGUUGUGUUCACAGCGGUAAGUGGUAGAGGAGCAAUGUGUACGGGCAGAAGCUGUACCGAGAGGAGCAGUGGACUGUGCACAAGAGAGAAUGCCGGUAUGAGUAGCGAGAGGCAUGCGAGAAACAUGCCCGUCGAAAGCCUAAGGUUUCCUGGGGAAGGUUCAUCCGCCCAGGGUCAGUCGGGACCUAAGCCGAGGACGGAAGUCGUAGGCGAUGGACAGCAGGUGGAGAUUCCUGCACCGCCUUGAGAAUGAAGCAAUGACACAGAAGGAUAGCAUGAGCCGGGUGAUGGUCAACCCGGUUUCCCAGCGAGGGCGCCGCGUAGUGAAGUACGCGCGGCGGGAAGCCUGAGCGAAGGAGGGAGCGAAAUGAAGUAGCGAAGCAUGCGGGUUCACGCUGGCGAGAAAAGUUGCUAGUAUAUCGAAAAGGCGCCCGUACCGCAAUCCGACGCAGGUAGGCGAGAAGAGAAUUCUAAGACGAACGGGAGAACCCUUGUUAAGGAACUCGGCAAAAUGACCCCGUAACUUCGGGAGAAGGGGUGCCGGUGGAGACAUCGGUCGCAGAGAAUAGGCUCAAGCGACUGUUUAGCAAAAACACAGGUAUCUGCGAAAGCGAGAGCUGACGUAUAGGUGCUGACACCUGCCCGGUGCUGGAAGGUUAAGGGGAAAUGUUAGGGCAACCGAAGCAUAGAACCGAAGCCCCAGUAAACGGCGGCCGUAACUAUAACGGUCCUAAGGUAGCGAAAUUCCUUGUCGGGUAAGUUCCGACCCGCACGAAUGGCGUAACGACUUGGGCGCUGUCUCAACAAGGGACCCGGCGAAAUUGUAGUAUGGGUGAAGAUGCCCAUU
rnacentral:rRNA from 1 species